rnacentral:rRNA from 1 species
CGGUGAAUACGUUCCCGGACCUUGUACACACUGCCCGUCAAGCCAUGGAAGCCGGGUGUACCUAAAGUCGGUAACCGCAAGGAGCCGCCUAGGGUAAAACUGGUGACUGGGGCU